CUCUCCCACGACGUUCAUAAUGUGAUUAAGGUGUUUACAUGUCUGUAAUACUCGUCCAUAAUGCGACUAAAACAGGAGUACUCCACCUGUCUUAAUUCGAUUAGAGCUUAAUUCGAGCUAUGCUGCGAAUUUCAAGACUCACACAGAUAGACAGGAGACUCUUGUAAAUGACUGUGUCGAAGGCUGCUGGAAGGUUGAGGAGAAUGAGGACUGAUGACAGUUUGCCGAUCAAGUUUCAUGAAGCUUCUCAAUAAUGGCCGCAAGGGCAGUUCCUGUGCUGUGUGCUGCUUUGAAGCCUGAUCGGUUAGAAUGUUGGAGUUUACAGAUCUUGUGUAGUCUAGAGGAAACUCCCAAAGAACGGGGAGAACAUAAACUCCGGACACAGUCUGGAAUCGAACCCGGAAUCCAACCGCGGAAGUGCAUGUUUGGAGAUUGUAUUUUAUAAUUUAUUGUACUGUAUGUAAAUUUAUAAUGUAAGUUUAUAAUUUAUUGUACUGUAUGUACAGUGCCAUCCACUAAUAUUGGCACCCUUGGUAAAUAUGAGCAAAGAAGGCUGUGAAAAAUUGUCUUUAUUGUUUGAACCUUUUGAUCUUUUGUUAAAAAAAUUUACAAAAAUACUCUGCUGUCAUGGAUAUCGAACGAUUGCAAAUAAGACACAGGUUUAUCCAGAAAUAUAUAUCUUUGUAAAAUAUAGUUGUGCAACAAUUAUUGGCACCAUUUUAAUCAAUACUUUGUGCUAGCUCCCUUUGCCAAGAUAACAGCUCUGAGUCUUCUCCUAUAAUACCUGAUGAGGUUGGAGAAUACAUGACAAGGGAUCUGAGACCAUUCCUCCAUACAGAAUCUCUCCAGAUCCUUCAAAUUUCGAGGUCCACACUGGUGGAUUCUCCUCUUCAGUUCACCCCACAGGUUUUCUAUAUGGUUUCAAGUCAGGGGACUGGGAUGGCCAUGGCAGGACCUUGAUUUGGUGGUCAGUAAACCAUUUUUGUGUUGAUUUUGAUGUAUGUUUUGGAUCAUUGUCUUGCUGGAAGAUCCAACCAUGGUGCAUUUUAAGCUUUCCGGCAGAGGCAAUCAGGUUUUCAUUUAAUAUCUAUUGAUAUUUGAUAGAGUCCAUGAUGCCAUGUAUCCUAACAAAUUGCCAGGUCCUCAUUAAAGAGCCACCACCAUAUUUAACCGUGGGCAUGAUGUACUUUUCCAUAUGGUUACCUCUCUGUGUGCGCCAAACACACCUCUGGUGACCAAAAAGACCAUAGAACCCGAUCCCAUUUGAAGUUCCAGUAGUGUCUGGCAAACUGAAUACACUUGAGUUGGUUUUUGGAUGAGAGUAGAGGCUUUUUUUCUUGAAACCCUUCCAAACAACUCGUGGUGAUGUAGAUGACCCUUUGUUAUGAAUGAGUAAGGGAAUUUGGUCUAUGUGAUACCUCAUAUUUAUACCCUUAUGAAACAGGAAGUCAUGGUUUAACAAUUUCCCAUUCCUAGUCGCCCUGGUGUACUAAACUUUUUUUUAAAUAUCACUGGAAAUAUACUUCAAAUAUAUUUUUCUCAUAUGAAUUCAUAGGGGUGCCAAUAAUUGUUGUACACCUACAUUUAACAAAGAUUUUUUUUGAUAAACCUGUUUUGUUUGCAGUUGUUUGAUAUCCAUGAGAGCAGAAUAUUUUAUGAUUUAUUUUUUAACAAAAGAUCGAAAUGUUAAACAAUAAAGAAAAUUUUUCACAGCCUUUUUUGCUCAUAUUUACCAAAUAUUAGUGGAGGGCACUGUAGUAUGUGAACUGCCCUUAUUUUAACACAAUCCUAAUCGCUAAUGUGUUUUUGCCUUAAGCAUACAGCACCAUCUGCUGGACAUAACUACAGAAAACACUGCAUAGAGCAACUCAGAUUCUGAGUCCAGUAACAGUCCACUGUUGAUUUAGUUUUCUACUCUAACACCAGCACAUAUUUUAGAGCAGGAAAGACUCAGUUGUGUUGUACCCUCUCACUUAAACUAUACACCUGUUCCUCUUCUUUGCAAAAAGACAUAAAGUUUGUGAUUUUAUUUGUUAAAAUUAAAAGGUGUGUUCCCUUCAGGAGGUCAUCUGACCAAUCACAUGAACCUCAGUGACCUCAGAUUGAACUGAACUGAAGUGUACUCAGCUGAGUGGUUAAAUUACUAUUCUUUUUUGGUUUUGGUUUCUUGUAAUAUACCUCCCACCCCACCCUUUAAUUGUUGUUGCUGUUAUUUUCUGUUUAUAUGGUCAGGUGAUAAAUCCAGAUUAGGUUUAAGAAUGCGUCUUCAGUUAAAAUCAAAACAUAAAAUCAUUAUGUUUUAUUCAGCAGGAGAAAUUCAAUCUAUUCUCAAGUCAGUCACUAGCUUUAGGGUGGUACAUGAUAAACAUUUAUGAUGAAGGGUGUUACUUUCUGAUGUCUGAGGUUUUUAGGUCAGUGAGUGUAAUAUGUGUAUACAAAACCACAUGACGCAACAGCGAUGCAGAUUGGACACACACACACACACACACACGCACACACACUCACAAUGUGUAUAGUACAACACAAAUACACUUGUUCUAAUAAAAUAAUAAAAU
ensembl:lncRNA